UACGGAGGGUGCGAGCGUUAUUCGGAAUUACUGGGCGUAAAGCGCGUGUAGGCGGGGAGGUAAGUCUGAUGUGAAAGCCCUGGGCUCAACCUGGGAAGUGCAUUGGAAACUGCCUUUCUUGAGUACUGGAGAGGAAGGGGGAAUUCCCGGUGUAGAGGUGAAAUUCGUAGAGAUCGGGAGGAAUACCAGUGGCGAAGGCGCCCUUCUGGACGGUUACUGACGCUGAGACGCGAAAGCGUGGGGAGCAAACAGGAUUAGAUACCCUGGUAGUCCACGCUGUAAACGAUGAGCACUAGGUGUAGCGGGUACUCAUUCCUGCUGUGCCGCAGCUAACGCGUUAAGUGCUCCGCCUGGGGACUACGGUCGCAAGACUAAA
rnacentral:rRNA from 1 species